UGGCGUCGGUGAUGUUCUGCAAUUACCUACAUUGUUUGAUCCCUGUGAAAAGAGCACCGGCUGAGACGCCU
ensembl:snoRNA SNORD34 Small nucleolar RNA SNORD34